ACUGCCGGGGUUUAAAGGCCUUAGGAGUGGACGAAGCCGUAUAUUCUUCAAUCGUAGUACCGGAAGUCAUUGCGAAGUUGCCGGACGCUUUUCCCAUUGACAAUAACAAGAGGUUCGAUUUCACGGAAUGGUCAAUGAAAGAUACGUUGAACGCAAUUCUUAAAGAGUUGGAGCUUCGAGAAGCUCACACACCGAUCGGUGCGAAAACCAAGAGACAGGAUGGGAAGAAACAACGAGAAACGUCGAGACAAAGACAUAUGGGGUCAGAAUCAACACUGCACUCGAAGCACGAGAGUUGCAACGAGGAGUCAACGAACGGUAAAGCGAAAAGAAAAUGCGUUUAUUGUCUCGGGGAACACAAUCCAGAGGAAUGUAAGAAAAUAACCAAUGUAACUGAGAGAAAACAACUCAUUCGUAUAUUUAACUACAAGCUGUUUCUGGUAAUCUGAAUUGAUUUGUAAAGUGGCAAAAGUUAAGUUUAUCAAAAUCACAAGUCAAAACGAUUCCACACCCAGAAUACAAAAAUGUUCAUUGCUGUAAUUGAAUUGAAUAAUUAGUUUAUAAUUAGUUAAUCGGUCUAAUUUUAACCCGAAGAGCCUCAAACGUGACAGAAUUAUAUUAGAAUUUCUGCUGUACACCACUAUGUGGUCCAAAAUCUCUGUUUUUACAAAUCAGAAAUCAAAGAUUUUCAGUUUUUUUAGUGCUAUGAAUUUGCAUGUAUCACCUUAGCGUCAACAGCUCGACGAAAGAUAAUUGCAACGUUACAAAACGACUAAAUGUUAAAAAAAAACGACCAAAUAUUUAAAACAUUCAAUGAUGGCAUGCAUGAGUCCAUUUGCAAUUUCAAACUAAAUUUUCUUCCUGAUUCAUAAAUGUCAUUUCAUACUAUCACAAGUAUAAUGAAAUAACACAUAUUUUAUAAAUAUACCGUCCGGACCCAAAGAUGAAUAUAAUUGCAUGCUAGCAAGCAAUUUCAAUUCCUUGGCAAACAAACACAUCACGAUAAACAGGCCUUCCUUUCGAUGGCAGUAAUUAUUUUUCGUAAUUAAAUUGUUUCUAUUUGCAACUUCGUUUGUUUGGUAUACAAUUACAGGAUUACAAAUUGCUACGGGUAUCUAUGAUGUAUAUUUCAUAGUACUAAGGUGUGACUAAUAUUUAGUCAAAAUAUAUUAAUUAAAUAUGAGAAAUAUUUUGUAUUCAAGGUCACAUUUAUACAUCGUAAACACACAUGAUAAUUCUUUAUCUUUUGUCUUACAAACCUUUUGCUGGUCGACGGUUGGAACUUUGAACAUUCAAUCUUUCAGAUAAAUUUAAAGUUCUGAAAAGUUAAGCGUCAAAUGUCAGCGUCGUUUGAGUUGAUACGUGGCCAUUAAUUUUGUGCAACUUAAUUUUAAACAUUUAAAUCUUAUUGUUAUGUAAAGCAAAGAUACGGCCUUAUGAUUUUUAUUGUUUCUGUUACCAUGUUUAAAUGUUAUUACCGUUUCCUAGGUAUUUUGUAGAUAAAGACAUUGUAUUACAUGCAGACAUAUGUGCAGAAAAUGCUAACCGACGGGCUUUUUAUCAAGAAACAAAAUUUGAACUUCUAGAUGGCAUUGCAGAAGGAAACACAAGUGGGGAUGUCACUGAGGAUGUGAGUUUGGAUACUGGUGUGAAGUCAAUUUCAGAUAUUCUUGAACCGUUAGUGAAAAAUCUCAAAGCACAAUCUAGAAUAAAUAUACGUUGAACGCAAUUCUUAAAGAGUUGGAGCUUCGAGAAGCUCACACACCGAUCGGUGCGAAAACCAAGAGACAAGAUGAGGAGAAACAACGAGAAACGUCGAGACAAAGACAUAUGGGGUCAGAAUCAACACUGCACUCGAAGCACGAGAGUUGCAACGAGGAGUCAACGAACGGUAAAGCGAAAAGAAAAUGCGUUUAUUGUCUUGGGGAACACAAACCUGAGGAAUGUAAGAAAAUAACCAAGGUACCUGAGAAAAACAACUCAUUCGUAAGUACGGAAGAUGUUUUAUUUGUUUGAAGAAAGGACAUGUCAGUAAGAAUUGUAAUAGUAAUGAUAAAUGUAAUGCAUGUGAGAAGGCACACCAUAGGUCAAUUUGUGAAGCCAACGGGAUUCUUACAGGCGAUGUUCAAACCAAGCAUUCUAUUCUGGGAUCUCAUUAUAGGGUAACAUUACAGACAGCACAGUCUUUUAUUAAGGGAGCUAAGGGACGUGUUUGGGUCAGAGUGUUGUUUGAUUCAGGAAGUCACAAGUCGUUUGUGAAUAGAAAGAUUAUACAGGGAGCAGGUAUUCAGGCUAGUAGAAAGGAUUGGAUAGAAAUCAAGUUGUUUGGUCAAGAGAAGGCUAAAGGUAAGUUGCCAGAGGUAUUUCAAUUAGAGUUGUCAUCAGUUACACGGGGAGAGAGUGUAAGCAUCAAGGCAUACAGUGUAGACUGUAGACGGUACAGUAUAGUACAGUAUAGUAUAGUAUGUACAGUGUAGACUGUAUAUCUCAAAUUAGGAAUGCAUAUGUAGAGUUGAGAAAGAUGGAUUAUUCACAUUUAAAGGGUCUGUGGUUUUCAGAUGUUUGCAAGGAUAAGGAAGUUUUAGAUAUUGAAGUUUUGAAUGGAGCAAAUUAUCUUUGGUGGUUUCAAGAAGACAAUGUUGUUCGGGGACAGGUAGAUGAACCUGUUGCUGUGUCUACUAAGUUAGGUUGGGUGUUGUCUGGUCCCAUGAAAGCAAGAAAUGAUUUGGAUAACAUGCACACUCAAGUGAACUUCAUUGCGCAUGAAAGUUCAGGAAAUUUAAGUUUAGAUAAGAAUGUCAACCGUUUGUCGGAUUUUGAAACUUUAGGAAUAGCAGAGGAAGAUGUAUAGACAUAGUUUAGAUUAUACAAAUUACAGCAUAAGCUUGAGAAGAUUAAAGGGUCAGUUAGUAUAGCUGAAAAGGGAACCA